GCCGGGCAUGCUGGUCCAUGCCUGUGAUCCCAGCUACUUGGGAGGCUGAGGCAGGGGAAUUGCUUGAGCCCAGGAGAUGGGGGUUGCAGUGAGCCGAGAUCACGCCAUUGCACUCCAGCCUGGCCAACAGAGCGAGACUCUGUCUCAA
rnacentral:sRNA from 1 species